AAUAAGUAAUGUUUUGCACUAUUCAUGACUAACGUUUGACUAUUUAUCUUAUUUGAAAUUUUUUAGUGGUUAGUAUUUUUAUUUUUAUUGGAUGAUAAAAUAUGAAUAGUACUUUAUGUUUAAUUAAUUAAUUUUAUUUUUUCAUAAAUUUUUCAAAUAAGACGAACGGUCAAACGUUAGACACGGAUAUCUACGGCCGCAGAUGGU
rfam:Oryza meridionalis cultivar OR44 (W2112) chromosome 10, whole genome shotgun sequence.